AUUGAACGCUGGCGGCAUGCCUUACACAUGCAAGUCGAACGGCAGCACGGGAGCAAUCCUGGUGGCGAGUGGCGAACGGGUGAGUAAUAUAUCGGAACGUGCCCAGUCGUGGGGGAUAACGCAGCGAAAGCUGUGCUAAUACCGCAUACGAUCAAUGGAUGAAAGCGGGGGACCGUAAGGCCUCGCGCGAUUGGAGCGGCCGAUAUCAGAUUAGCUAGUUGGUGGGGUAAAGGCCCACCAAGGCGACGAUCUGUAGCUGGUCUGAGAGGACGACCAGCCACACUGGAACUGAGACACGGUCCAGACUCCUACGGGAGGCAGCAGUGGGGAAUUUUGGACAAUGGGCGCAAGCCUGAUCCAGCAAUGCCGCGUGCAGGAUGAAGGCCUUCGGGUUGUAAACUGCUUUUGUACGGAACGAAACGGUCUCUAUUAAUACUGGGGGCUAAUGACGGUACCGUAAGAAUAAGCACCGGCUAACUACGUGCCAGCAGCCGCAGUAA
rnacentral:rRNA from 1 species